rnacentral:hammerhead_ribozyme from 1 species
AUCCAGCUGACGGGUCCAAAAUAUGGCGAAACACGCGUCUUGAAU